rnacentral:misc_RNA from 1 species
GAUGAAGAACGUAGCGAAAUGCGAUACUUGGUGUGAAUCGCAGAAUCCCGUGAACCAUCGAGUUUUUGAACGCAAGUUGCGCCCGAAGCCGUUAGGCUGAGGGCACGCCUGCCUGGGUGUCACACAUCGUUGCCCCAAUGCCAAUCGCCUCACUUUGUAGGUAUUUGCUUGGGGUGAAUAUUGGCCUCCCGUGAGCUUUGUCUCACGGUUGGUUGAAAAUCGAGUGCAUGGUGUCGGGUGUACCAUGAUGGAUGGUGGUUGAGUGAUGAUGCUCGAGACCAAUCAUGGGUAACUCCACCAGAAUUGGGCUCGGUGACCCACAUGCGUCCCUUGGAUGCUCCCUAAGGAGACCUCAGGUCAGGCGGGGCUACCCGCUGAGUUUAAGCAUAUCAAUAAGCGGAGGA